GGCCCGAUCGUCUAGGGGUCCAGGACACGGGCCUUUCACGCCCGCAACACGGGUUCAAAUCCCGUUCGGGUCA
rnacentral:tRNA from 1 species